rnacentral:snoRNA from 1 species
CAUCAUGAUGACUUUCAUUAUUAUCUACAUUGGCCGAGUUCCUCGUGACGAAAAAAAGUUUCACCUUGGAGAACUGAUAU